rnacentral:tRNA from 1 species
GGGGCUUUAGCUCAGUUGGGAGAGCGCCGGCUUUGCAAGCCGGAGGUCACCGGUUCGAAACCGGUAAGCUCCA